AGGCUUCUUCUGGACAUCCUGAAUGCUGGGACCUACUGGAGUUCGUACAGCAAAUCCUGAACGGUGAACACCAACUCCUGAAAGAUCCCUGUGGAUGUAUUGCUUGGACUCCAGGUAGGCCAUGGCCUCGGAGACGUCUUUGCACAUCUCCAGCAGCUGCACGGACGUGGGGUGCUGCCUGAGGCCCUCCCUGAGUCAAUGGGAAAAGGUGAACAUCAGUCGGCAUCCCAAUGAGAGCAGACAUUGUACAAUAAGUGAUUGUUUUAAUAUGUUCCUAGUUAAUAUUUCUUGUUUAGCACUUAGCAAUACUGCUACUUGAUGUUUAGUUUUUCACUAAAGCUGCAUCCGUUUAGCACACAGCUUCCAAAACUUGUAGCUUAUCCUCCGUAUAUUCAAAUUCAAAAACCUAAGUUUCUGGAUCAUCAUUUGCUCCAAAGUGGUGUUUGAAGUCUGCCACGAUUAUUAGUGUUGUUUUUGAAGGGAAAAGGGAACAUUGUCAUGCCUCUGUGAAAAUAAUAUGCCGCAACAGUAUGCUUAAUAUGAGUAAAAUACAUAAAUAUCACAUAUUAUUACAAAUGUGCCUGUUAUUACUUUACAUAUAAAUUCACAGCUUGUAUAUAAAACAUUGAUGGAUGUUUUUAGAGGUAUUUAUAGGCGGACUCCGUUUGUUAGCUGACUUUUGCUAGCAUUUAUUUACGAGUUGAAAUGCAUAGAAAAAGAAAAAAACAGAUGUCUUCUUGUCCCACAUAAUUUUUGCGGACAAAAUUCCCAAAAAGUGCAGUACCCAUUUUAACUCAUUAAAGGUGUCCUGUUCGACCAGGGGUCGGCGACCCGCGGUUCUAUAGCCGCAUGUGCUUCUUUAGCGCCCGGAGCUUUUACAAAAAUGUAUGAAUAUGGAAAAAGAAAAUAUCUAUUUUUUGUUUUAAUAUGGUUUCUGUAAGGAGGACAAAUAUGACACAAACCUUCCUAAUUGUUAGAAAUCCCACUGUUUCUAUCAAACAUGCUUCACUGAUGAGAGUAUUUGGCAAGCGCCGUUUCGUCCUACUAAUUUCGGCUGUACUUGAACUGACCCUAGUUUGUUUACGAGUGCAGUUUUCCUCGACGCCGCCACAAAAAUAGGUGUUUCAUGGCACUCCGUCUUUGUCUCAUUUUGUCCACCAAACGUCUUAUACUGUGCGUGAAUGCAAAAAUGUGAGCUUUGUUGAUGUUAUUGACUAUUUGGAGUGCUAAUCAGGCAUCUUUGCUCGGUGCAUGACUGCAAGCUAUAUAUUGCUAACAUGCUAUUUAGGCUAGCUGUGUGUACAUAUUGCAUCAUUAUGCCUCGUGUGUAGGUUUAUUAAUUUCCUCUACUUAUGUCGUCAAUGUCUUUAAUUAAUAUUUGCAUGUCUCAGUCAUGACACGUUAUCUGUACGUAAUAUUGGCUGCAUUUCUGAGAGUUCUUUGUGUGGCAUGUUGUUCCAGACCACAGCAAAUGUUACCCAGCUUGAAAAUAUUCUAAUAAAUCCAUUAGAAUAAUACGUUUUCUUUAACUUGGACACACACAUUUAUACCUUUGGCCAUUCUCAGUCAGGCUUUUCCAGGAGUUAUCUCACCCUCUGAGAAGUAUCAGUUUUACUAAUGUUUUUCAAUGUGUAGAAUAAAUAUUACAUUUCAACAUUUCUGUCAAACGAUUUGUGUCAGCCUGCGACACAUUGUCAUUUUAAUAGUAGGCUAUUAUGGCUAAUAUAGACACGUAUAUCAUGUGUUGCCUUCAUUAAAAGGUUUAAAUUUUUUGCGGCUCCAGACAGAUUUUUAGGGACCGAAUGUCCCUUUGGGACAGAGAACCCUAUUGUAUUUCUAAGGUUUUAUUAUUAUUAUACCACCGCCUCUUUGAGCUGUAAUUUGACCCCCUUAACAUACUUAAAAACUCACCACAUUUAACACACACAUCACGACUGGCGAAAAUUGAGAUCUAAUAAAAACAAAACCCAAAACUCAAAAUUGCGCUCUAGCACCCCCUAGGAAAAAACACAGACAAAACUUCUUGUAACUUUCGUUAGGAAUGUCGUACAGACAUGAAACAAAAAACUCUAUGUAGGUCUGACUUAGACCUACAUUUCAUACACUUACAUCCUACAGAAAAAAUCAACAGGAAGUUGGCAAAACCCCUUCAAAACAAAAUAUUCCUAAAAAAUUUCAUUUUUGCCUCUUUGAGCUGUAAUGUGACCCCCUUAUAAUACUUCAAAACUCACCAAACUCGACACACACAUCAGGACUGGUGAAAGUUGCGAUCUAAUAAAAAACAAACCCCAAAACUCAAAAUUGCGCUCUAGCGCCCCCUAGAAAUAAAACACUGACAAAACUGCUCUUGGGAAGAAAACACAGACAAAACUGCUUGUAACUUCCGGUAGGAAUGUCGUAGAGACAUGAAACAAAAACCUCUAUGUAGGUUUCACUUAGACCUACAUUUCAUCAUCGACAUCCUUAAGCAAAUAUCAACAGGAAGUUGGCAAUUACCCCUUCAAAACAAACGUUUUGUAAAAACAUGUCACCUUUUUUCAAACAUUAUCUCC